rnacentral:rRNA from 1 species
CUACGGGGGGCUCCAGUGAGGAAUAUUGCACAAUGGGGGGAACCCUGAUGCAGCAACGCCGCGUGGAGGAUGACGCAUUUCGGUGUGUAAACUCCUUUUAUAUGUCAAGAAAAUGACGGUAGCAUAUGAAUAAGCACCGGCUAACUCCGUGCCAGCAGCCGCGGUAAUACGGAGGGUGCAAGCGUUACUCGGAAUCACUGGGCGUAAAGGACGCGUAGGCGGGAUAUCAAGUCAGGUGUGAAAUCCUACAGCUUAACUGUAGAACUGCACUUGAAACUGGUAACCUAGAGUAUGGGAGGGGGAGAUGGAAUUAGUGGUGUAGGGGUAAAAUCCGUAGAUAUCACUAGGAAUACCUAAAGCGAAGGCGAUCUCCUGGAACAUAACUGACGCUAAGGCGUGAAAGCGUGGGGAGCAAACAGGAUUAGAUACCCGUGUAGUC